rnacentral:rRNA from 1 species
GAUGAACGCUAGCGGCAGGCCUAACACAUGCAAGUCGAGGGGCAGCACGUCUUCGGAUGGUGGCGACCGGCGCACGGGUGCGUAACGCGUAUGCAACCUACCUCUUACAGGUGGGAUAGCCCAGAGAAAUUUGGAUUAAUACCGCAUAGUAUACAGAUUCAGCAUUGGGACUGUAUUAAACAUUUAUGGGUAAGAGAUGGGCAUGCGUUCUAUUAGUUAGUUGAGUGGUAACGGCACCCCAAGACAGCGAUAGAUAGGGGCCCUGAGAGGGGGAUCCCCCACACUGGUACUGAGACACGGACCAGACU